AAUGAAUUCCAAACAAAGCCCAAAAGAAAGGAGAAAUAAAGCAUAAAGGAUCGAUUUGAUUGGGGCUUGUUUGAGUCUGGCAGCGAAGGACUUUCCUUUCCUUCUUUUUUCCUCACGGGUUUUCAUUUUUUUUUUUGUGAUUUUUCUCUCGAGUGUGAGGAUUGAUUGUGUUUUUGAAGAGAAGAGGAAGU
rnacentral:ribozyme from 13 species